rnacentral:rRNA from 1 species
GACGAACGCUGGCGGCGCGCUUAACACAUGCAAGUCGAACGGAAAGGCCUGCUUUCCCUUGUGGAUUGCGGGUACUCGAGUGGCGAACGGGUGAGUAACACGUGAGUGAUCUGCCCCCAACUUGGGUAUAAGCCUGGGAAACUGGGUCUAAUUCCCGAUAGGACUGCAGGGUGGUGCCUGUGGUGGAAAACGAUUUUCUAGUGGUUGGGGAUGAGCUCGCGGCCUAUCAGCUUGUUGGUGGGGUAAUGGCCUACCAAGGCGGCGACGGGUAGCCGGCCUGAGAGGGUGGACGGCCACAUUGGGACUGGGACACGGCCCAGACUCCUACGGGAGGCAGCAGUGGGGAAUAUUGCACAAUGGGCGGAAGCCAGAUGCAGCGACGCCGCGUGGGGGAUGACGGCCUUCGGGUUGUAAACUCCUUGCGACCGCGAGGAAGCCACCUGGUUGGAAGGGUGGUGACGGUAGUGGUAGAAGAAGCACCGGCUAACUACGUG